UUUUUUGUUUUUAAUUUGUUUACAUUCUUUAACUUGGAGUUAUAAAAUAAAGCCGCAAGACUUCAAAAGUUCGUGGAGCGCAGAACGCCACCCUUACUAUUUCGAAUUCUCGCCAAUAAGUGCACAGUGUUAGAAGUGGAGGUCGGGCACUACGAAUAGUCACCCUAAAUUCACUAAUGAUCCUUCCGCAGGUUCACCUACGGAAA
rnacentral:misc_RNA from 1 species